rnacentral:rRNA from 1 species
GGGACCCGCACAAGCAGCGGAGCGUGUGGUUUGAUUCGUUGCUACACGAAGAACUUACCUGGGUUUGACAUGCAAGUGGUAGGAAUCUGAAAGGGGACGACCCUUCGGGGAGCUUGCACAGGUGCUGCAUGGCUGUCGUCAGCUCGUGUCGUGAGAUGUUCGGUUAAGUCCGCUAACGAGCGCAACCCUCGUCGUGUGUUACAAGUGUCACGCGAGACCGCCGACGUCAAGUCGGAGGAAGGUGGGAUGAUGUCAAGUCAGCAUGGCCUUUAUAUCCAGGGCUACACACACGCUACAAUGGUCAACACAAUAGGUCGCGAAACCGCGAGGUGGAGCCAAUCCUCAAAGUUGGCCUCAGUUCAGAUUGUAGGCUGCAACUCGCCUGCAUGAAGAUGGAGUUGCUAGUAACCGCAGGUCAGCACUACUGCGGUGAAUACGUUCCCGGGGUUU